rnacentral:rRNA from 1 species
ACGCUCGACACCUACGGGGGGCAGCAGUCGGGAAUAUUGCGCAAUGGAGGGAACUCUGACGCAGUGACGCCGCGUAUAGGAAGAAGGUUUUCGGAUUGUAAACUAUUGUCGUUAGGGAAGAGAAAGGACAGUACCUAAGGAGGAAGCUCCGGCUAACUACGUGCUAGCAGCCGCGGUAAUCUGAGCGGGCUGGCAAGGC